rnacentral:rRNA from 1 species
GCGUCGAGCGGCGGACUGGGUGAGUAACGCGUGAGAAUCUGCCCAUCAGUGGGGGAUAACUCGGGGAAACUCGAGCUAAUACCGCAUACGUCCUACGGGACAAAGCAGGGGACCUUUUGGCCUUGCGCUGAUGGAUGAGCUCGCGUCGGAUUAGCUUGUUGGUGAGGUAAAGGCUCACCAAGGCGACGAUCCGUAGCUGGUCUGAGAGGAUGAUCAGCCACACCGGGACUGAGACACGGCCCGGACUCCUACGGGAGGCAGCAGUGGGGAAUCUUGGACAAUGGGGGCAACCCUGAUCCAGCCAUGCCGCGUGUGUGAAGAAGGCCUUCGGGUUGUAAAGCACUUUCAGUAGGGAGGAAGGCUUUGGGCUAAUACCCUGAAGUACUUGACGUUACCUACAGAAGAAGCACCGGCUAAUUUCGUGCCAGCAGCCGCGGUAAUACGAAAGGUGCAAGCGUUAAUCGGAAUUACUGGGCGUAAAGCGCGCGUAGGCGGUGUGUUAAGUCGGAUGUGAAAGCCCAGGGCUCAACCUUGGAAUUGCAUCCGAUACUGGCACGCUAGAGUGCAGUAGAGGGAGGUGGAAUUUCCGGUGUAGCGGUGAAAUGCGUAGAGAUCGGAAGGAACACCAGUGGCGAAGGCGGCCUCCUGGACUGACACUGACGCUGAGGUGCGAAAGCGUGGGGAGCAAACAGGAUUAGAUACCCUGGUAGUCCACGCCGUAAACGAUGUCUACUAGCCGUCGGGGUCCUUAGUGACUUUGGUGGCGCAGCUAACGCGAUAAGUAGACCGCCUGGGGAGUACGGCCGCAAGGUUAAAACUCAAAUGAAUUGACGGGGGCCCGCACAAGCGGUGGAGCAUGUGGUUUAAUUCGAUGCAACGCGAAGAACCUUACCAGGUCUUGACAUCCUCGGAAUUUGGCAGAGAUGCCUUAGUGCCUUCGGGAGCCGAGUGACAGGUGCUGCAUGGCCGUCGUCAGCUCGUGUCGUGAGAUGUGGGGUUAAGUCCCGUAACGAGCGCAACCCUUGUCCUUAGUUGCCAGCACUUCG